rnacentral:rRNA from 1 species
CCUACGGGUGGCAGCAGUGGGGAAUAUUGCGCAAUGGGCGAAAGCCUGACGCAGCGACGCCGCGUGAGGGAUGAAGGUCUUCGGAUCGUAAACCUCUGUCAGCAGGGAAGAACGGUCACUGUGCUAAUCAGCAGUGAAUUGACGGUAUCUGCAAAGGAAGCACCGGCUAACUCCGUGCCAGCAGCCGCGGUAAUACGGAGGGUGCGAGCGUUAAUCGGAAUUACUGGGCGUAAAGCGCUCGUAGGCGGUAUGUCAAGUCAAGGGGGAAAUCCCCGCGCUCAACGUGGGAACUGCCUUUUAAACUGGCAAACUGGAGUGUGGGAGAGGACAGUGGAAUUCCAGGUGUAGGAGUGAAAUCCGUAGAUAUCUGGAGGAACAUCAGUGGCGAAGGCGACUAUCUGGCACAUAACUGACGCUGAGGAGCGAAGGCGUGGGUAGCAAACAGGAUUAGAUACCCCGGUAGUC